AUCCAGCUGACGAGUCCCAAAUAGGACGAAAAGUGCGUCAAACUGGAU
rfam:Schistosoma rodhaini strain Burundi genome assembly, scaffold: SROB_scaffold0000617